rnacentral:rRNA from 1 species
UUCCAGACUCCUACGGGAGGCAGCAGUGAGGAAUAUUGGUCAAUGGGCGGGAGCCUGAACCAGCCAAGUCGCGUGAGGGAAGACGGUCCUAUGGAUUGUAAACCUCUUUAGGCGGGGAGCAAUGCCGGGCACGCGUGCCCGGAGGGAGAGUACCCGCAGAAUAAGCAUCGGCUAACUCCGUGCCAGCAGCCGCGGUAAUACGGAGGAUGCGAGCGUUAUCCGGAUUUAUUGGGUGUAAAGGGCGUGUAGGCGGGAAAGCAAGUCAGAUGUGAAAACCAUGGGCUCAACCUGUGGCCUGCAUUUGAAACUGUUUUUCUUGAGUACUGGAGAGGCAGACGGAAUUCCUAGUGUAGCGGUGAAAUGCGUAGAUAUUAGGAGGAACACCAGUGGCGAAGGCGGUCUGCUGGACAGCAACUGACGCUGAGGCGCGAAAGCGUGGGGAGCAAACAGGAUUAGAUACCCGAGUA